UACGUAGGGUGCGAGCGUUGUCCGGAAUUAUUGGGCGUAAAGAGCUUGUAGGCGGUUUGUCGCGUCUGCCGUGAAAUUUCGGGGCUCAACCCCGAACUUGCGGUGGGUACGGGCAGACUAGAGUGUGGUAGGGGAGACUGGAAUUCCUGGUGUAGCGGUGAAAUGCGCAGAUAUCAGGAGGAACACCGGUGGCGAAGGCGGGUCUCUGGGCAGUAACUGACGCUGAGGAGCGAAAGCGUGGGGAGCGAACAGG
rnacentral:rRNA from 1 species